rnacentral:rRNA from 1 species
CACGUAGGGGGCGAGCGUUGUCCGGAUUUAUUGGGCGUAAAGAGCUCGUAGGCGGCUCAGUAAGUCAGGUGUGAAAACUCCAGGCUCAACCUGGAGACGCCACUUGAUACUGCUGUGGCUAGAGUCCGGUAGGGGAGCAUGGAAUUCCUGGUGUAGCGGUGAAAUGCGCAGAUAUCAGGAGGAACACCGGUGGCGAAGGCGGGUCUCUGGGCAGUAACUGACGCUGAGGAGCGAAAGCGUGGGGAGCGAGCAGG